UGGAUUAAUACCCCAUAGCAUAGCAGCUUCGCAUGAAGCCGCUAUUAAAGUCACAACGGUAAAAGAUGAGCAUGCGUCCCAUUAGCUAGUUGGUAAGGUAACGGCUUACCAAGGCUACGAUGGGUAGGGGUCCUGAGAGGGAGAUCCCCCACACUGGUACUGAGACACGGACCAGACUCCUACGGGAGGCAGCAGUGAGGAAUAUUGGACAAUGGGCGCAAGCCUGAUCCAGCCAUGCCGCGUGCAGGAUACGGUCCUAUGGAUUGUAAACUGCUUUUAUACGAGAAGAAACACUCCAACGUGUUGGAGCUUGACGGUAUCGUAAGAAUAAGGAUCGGCUAACUCCGUGCCAGCAGCCGCGGUAAUACGGAGGAUCCAAGCGUUAUCCGGAAUCAUUGGGUUUAAAGGGUCCGUAGGCGGUUUAAUAAGUCAGUGGUGAAAGCCCAUCGCUCAACGGUGGAACGGCCAUUGAUACUGUUAAACUUGAAUUAUUAGGAAGUAACUAGAAUAUGCAGUGUAGCGGUGAAAUGCUUAGAGAUUGCAUGGAAUACCAAUUGCGAAGGCAGGUUACUACUAAUUGAUUGACGCUGAUGGACGAAAGCGUGGGUAGCGAACAGGAUUAGAUACCCUGGUAGUCCACGCCGUAAACGAUGGAUACUAGCUGUUGGGAGCAAUCUCAGUGGCUAAGCGAAAGUGAUAAGUAUCCCACCUGGGGAGUACGUUCGCAAGAAUGAAACUCAAAGGAAUUGACGGGGGCCCGCACAAGCGGUGGACCAUGUGGUUUAAUUCGAUGAUACGCGAGGAACCUUACCAAGGCUUAAAUGUAGAUUGACCGAUUUGGAAACAGAUCUUUCGCAAGACAAUUUACAAGUGCUGCAUGGUUGUCGUCAGCUCGUGCCGGGAGGUGUCAGGUUAAGUCCUAUAACGAGCGCAACCCCUGUUGUUAGUUGCCAGCGAGUCAAGUCGGGAACUCUAACAAGACUGCCAGUGCAAACUGUGAGGAAGGUGGGGAUGACGUCAAAUCAUCACGGCCCUUACGCCUUGGGCUACACACGUGCUACAAUGGCCGGUACAGAGAGCAGCCACUGGGCGACCAGGAGCGAAUCUAUAAAACCGGUCACAGUUCGGAUCGGAGUCUGCAACUCGACUCCGUGAAGCUGGAAUCGCUAGUAAUCGGAUAUCAGCCAUGAUCCGGUGAAUACGUUCCCGGGCCUUGUACACACCGCCCGUCAAGCCAUGGAAGCUGGGGGUGCCUGAAGUCGGUGACCGCAAGGAGCUGCCUAGGGUAAAACUGGUAACUAGGGCUAAGUCGUAACAAGGUA
rnacentral:rRNA from 1 species